GCAAGUCGAGCGCGAAAGUGAACUUCGGUUCAUGAGUAGAGCGGCGCAAGGGUGAGUAACGAAUAAGCAACCUACCCCUGACACCGGUAUAGCGUCUGGAAACGGACGGUAAUCCCGGAUGGUCUCCUAGGAGCGAAUGCUCUCUGGAGUAAAGAUAGGGAUCUUCGGACCUUUCGGUCGGGGAGGGGCUUAUUUCCCAUCAGCUUGUUGGUGAGGUAACGGCUCACCAAGGCUUUGACGGGUAGCCGGACUGAGAGGUUGGCC
rnacentral:rRNA from 1 species